rnacentral:rRNA from 1 species
CCUACGGGAGGCAGCAGUGGGGAAUAUUGCGCAAUGGAGGAAACUCUGACGCAGCAACGCCGCGUGAAUGAAGAAGGUUUUCGGAUUGUAAACUUCUAUCGUCAGGGAAGAAAAUGACGGUACCUCAUUAAGAAGCACCUGCUAACUACGUGCCAGCAGCCGCGGUAGUACGUAGGGGGCAAGCGUGAUCCGGAUGUAUUGGUGGGAAAGGAGGCGGAGGCGGUAUAGCAAGUAAGAAGUGAAAGCCCGGGGCUUAACUCAGGUACUGCUUCUGAAACUGUUGAACUAGAGUGCAGGAGAGGUUAGUGGAAUUCCUAGUGUAGCGGUGAAAUGCGUAGAUAUUAGGAGGAACACCAGAGGCGAAGGCGGCUUACUGGACUGUAACUGACGCUGAGGCACGAAAGUGUGGGGAGCAAACAGGAUUAGAUACCCGUGUAGUC